rnacentral:lncRNA from 7 species
ACACAACUCCCUUGUGCUACAGAAGGCACAGUCUGGGGAUGAGAGCUAGAGGAGGAUCAAACCUUCCAAUACAGUAUCAUGCACUGCCAUGGUGCUGAUGAUGGGUACACACAUGUGCCACUCAUCCCAUACGGACAGCAACGCUAUGGACAGGAGAGCGCAGUGCCGCACACUGCAGAAUACUCUAAGCAGUCCUGAAGGUAUUUCAUCACUCCUGCCCUAUACUACACUGAUGGAACCAUAGAAGAGGCUGAUGCUCUUGGCAAGAAGACAUGGAGGACAUUCGAAGGGCCCCCGGGCACCUCCAGAUGCUGUACCAUGAAGAACACAGGCACCACCAACCCCUGCCCUCAGCUCCUGACACCCCUGGACCCGUUAUGGGCUCUCAUCCCUAGCAGUCCCAGCUUGCACGUGUGCAGAAAUCUGAGCACAGAUGAGGGACUGAAGUCCCACCAGAACAGACCACCCACUUUCCUCAAAAGAAUAUGCACCAAGCUGUAAAAUUUGUACCCAGGAGGGAGGCUCCCACUCAACCCAUUUCCCAGGCACUGAUGGACAGGUUUGCACUUCCACGGGGACCCCCAUCCCAAGGGCACUGCAUUUCAGAGGGCAGCUCAUGACAGAAAUGAUCUCCAUCACACUGUAAUCACCUCCCCAGCCAAAGCCAACCUGCAUGUCCACAGCAGCAAAGUCUCCUGACAUUAGUAUAGUGAGCCGUAGGCAAGGCUGAGAUGAGAUGGGAAGAAAGAACAAGCCCUCGUUUUCUACUGUUACCUCUUGUCCCUACAUCCGUAUUCUGAUUCAUUGUUUAUGACAAUAAACAGUGGCUUUCAUCAGGACUUGCAAUGUAAUGGGAUGCAGAAAGGCCAUUUCAAAGUAUAAACACUGAAUUUUUAUUUGGGAAAAUUGAACUCAUUUGUAGUUUUUAGACUUCACCGACUACACAUUUAAUUGAAAUGCACACAGAAUUAGGUAGAUGCUCAUGUACCCAAAUGCUGCUGGGCAUAUUGGAUUCACUUGAAUACAAUAACUUAUUUCAGUUAGAAGAUGACAGUUCUGUAACAGCCUGAGCUUUACUGUGUAGUUCAGCUGAGCUUCAUUUUGAUUGGAAAAUAGCAAGCAAAUGCAGUCACUGGGGAUUUUCCAUGAAAGUACAAUUGAUUUUUAACAAUAAAUCCUGUCUGCAGGACUGCAC